AACUGAUGCAUUAUUGAGCACACAGUAUGAGACGGAUAUAUCUGAUAUUAUUCACAGUUUAGUGACACAGGAGACUGGAUAUAUACAUCUGGGUGAUGAUGCAAUAUUGAGAUCAUAUAGUCAAUCUGGUGAGGUGCUUGAUUUUGCAAGAUUUAACAGCACUCAGCUGCAAUUUAUUACUAGCUGGUUUUCAAAGGAGCAUCAGGAUCAUUUAUUGGAACUCUGGAAGAAUGUUGACAAUUUGUUGAUUGACGACCGGCAGAUCUGGUAUCCUCCUGAUCACUUGAAAUUUCAUCCUUCCCAAUUACCAAUGACAAGGAAUCCUGGUCUACGGGGUCGUUCACCUGCACCACCAUUUCAUGCAUUUUGUGAGGAACUGUGGUGUGAUUCGCAUGCUUUCUGUCUUCUCCGAUCUUGUUCAUAUUGCUUUAUGAUCAAUAGAGUGGGUGAUCCCCAUUGUGUUCUUAAUCGCAACAGAUAGUAUGGCAGCCUAUGGGGUUUUUUGGUGUUUUAGUUAUGUAAUUCCACUUAUAGACACUUAUAGAAAUUUAGAUGAAAGUUUGUCUACAGCAGAAAUAUAAUAAAAAAAUAAAAUAAAAUCAAAAAAUAUUUUGAGAAAAACCAAUAUUUAUAAAAUG
rnacentral:sRNA from 1 species